CCAGGGCCCGCGCCGCGGGGACCGUGCAGCCGGGAGAGCGCGGGGCUGCGCGGGCCCCGGAACCUCGGCGCGGAGGGGUUUCAUCUAAUAUUAAUUGUUUUAACCUCUUGUGGUUUAAGCGGUUUUAUUGGCAGGAAGAUGCAGGCAGCAGCGCGUUAGGGGCGAAGGCUUCGGAUUGCGCUCACAGGGGAAACAAUGGGCUGGAAUUUGAGAAAACAAACCCAAGAUGUUAAUUAGCCGCUAAGGCACUCGGGGCACUUUGCAAAUACUAACAUAGCCUACUUGUAAACUCCCGAGGGCUGCGACUUCGUUAUUUGUUUGACUUCCAUGGAUCUCAGAGAAAACAAUCUAUUUUAAAGAGGAACGAGGUUGAUCCACCGGGGUCUUCUCACCGCACUGCAGGUGAGCAAGGGUCCCGCGCCCCCGCCCCGCCCUGGCUGACUGCAGAGGGGCCGUCAGACUCAGUCUCUCUGGCGAGGACCUCGGGGGAGCCUGUGGCCGUCGGUGCCCUGAAGCAUGGAUUCGGAGCAUCAGCAGCUUGCCUUUGAAACCUUGGGCUGUGUGACUCUGAGCGGGUUAUUUGCCCUGGCUCAGUUUCCGUUUAUACCUAGCUCCUGGGUUUGCUGGAAGA